rnacentral:tRNA from 1 species
GGUUCUGGUUCAGUGGUAGAGCACUCGCCUAGCAUGUGUGAGGCCCUGGGUUCCAUCCUCAGCACCA